rnacentral:rRNA from 1 species
AGCGAACGCUAGCGGAUGGCUUAACACAUGCAAGUCGAGCGGGCAGCUUCGGCUGUCUAGCGGCGAACGGGUGCGUAACACGUGGGUAAUCUGCCUUCUGGUGGGGGAUAACCCGACGAAAGUCGGGCUAAUACCGCAUAUGGCCUACGGGUCAAAGCAGCAAUGCGCCAGUUGAUGAGCCCGCGGCCCAUUAUUUAAUCCUAGUUGGCGGGGUAACGGCCCACCAAGGGUACGAUGGGUAGCUGGUCUGAGAGGACGAUCAGCCACACUGGGACUGAGACACGGCCCAGACUCCUACGGGAGGCAGCAGUGGGGAAUAUUGCGCAAUGGGCGAAAGCCUGACGCAGCCAAUCCGCGUGGGUGAUGAAGGCCUCGGUUGUAAGCCCUGUCGUGAGGGACGAA